rnacentral:rRNA from 1 species
UACGGAGGGUGCAAGCGUUAAUCGGAUUUACUGGGCGUAAAGCGUCCGUAGGUGGUCUGUUAAGUUGGAUGUGAAAGCCCAGGGCUCAACCUUGGAACUGCAUCCAAAACUAGCAAACUAGAGUAUGUGAGAGGGAGGUAGAAUUUCUGGUGUAGCGGUGAAAUGCGUAGAGAUCAGAAAGAAUACCGAUGGCGAAGGCAACCUCCUGGCACAAUACUGACACUGAGGGACGAAAGCGUGGGGAGCAAACAGGAUUAGAUACCCGGGUAGUCC